rnacentral:rRNA from 1 species
UACGUAGGGGGCAAGCGUUGUCCGGAGUUACUGGGCGUAAAGCGUGCGCAGGCGGUUUUGUAAGUUUGUCGUGAAAGCCCCGGGCUCAACCUGGGAAUUGCGAUGAAGACUGCAAGGCUAGAAUCUGGCAGAGGGGGGUAGAAUUCCACGUGUAGCAGUGAAAUGCGUAGAGAUGUGGAGGAACACCGAUGGCGAAGGCAGCCCCCUGGGUCAAGAUUGACGCUCAUGCACGAAAGCGUGGGGAGCAAACAGG